GGGGAAUAUUGGACAAUGGGCGAAAGCCUGAUCCAGCCAUGCCGCGUGUGUGAAGAAGGUCUUCGGAUUGUAAAGCACUUUAAGUUGGGAGGAAGGGCUGCAAGUUAAUACCUUGUAGUUUUGACGUUACCAACAGAAUAAGCACCGGCUAACUUCGUGCCAGCAGCCGCGGUAAUACGAAGGGUGCAAGCGUUAAUCGGAAUUACUGGGCGUAAAGCGCGCGUAGGUGGUUUGGUAAGAUGGAUGUGAAAUCCCCGGGCUCAACCUGGGAACUGCAUUCGAAACUGGCAGGCUUGAGUCUCGUAGAGGGGGGUAGAAUUCCAGGUGUAGCGGUGAAAUGCGUAGAGAUCGGGAGGAACAUCAGUGGCGAAGGCGACUGCCUGGGCCAACACUGACACUGAGGCACGAAAGCGUGGGGAGCAAACA
rnacentral:rRNA from 1 species